AGCCGCGUCCUGGGCAAAGGAAGGAAACCGGGUUACGGGAAGUCACUCGAGUCUCAGGAACUGCCCUGGGUUCACAGAAACCGUUUAUGACUUUCUUGGUAGCGAGUUUAUUCUUACACCUUUACGAGAAGCGCUUCGCUCUGAAGAAAAGAAUUAAGUAGCAGGCGGCGUCUUCCCCGGAGAGCCCUGCCCGGAGUCCACGUUCUGCCUCUUUGGGGAGCAGGAUGAAAGGCCUGUGGACACUUCCUUACGUGACUUUCUAGAAACGCUGUGUGUGCACAGAAUCACGGUAACGUCUGACGGUCUCCCUCGACAAGAGCUGGGGUGCACCGCCCCUCCGUCCUGCCGACACCCACCCCCGGGGACACGAAGUCUUAGACCUCAGCUCCUGCCGCUCCACGGUGUCCGCUGCAUCUCCAGGCCCCAUGGCCCCCCCGGCUGUAUUACAGCCCUAGAAUCAUGGCUUCUCGUUCCCUUGACUUUGAAUCUCUGCCCCCGAGCAGCUGAGGACGACGGAUGGCUCUUGUUCCUUUAUAUGUCAUUCUUCCGGGGAUGAUUUCACACUUCUCUUGCGUUUGGUUUCACGGUGAUGCGCGAGGCAGGGGAGGGUUUUCCUUGCGUCCUCUGCUUGGUGCCUGGGCCCUUUCAAACUGAGCCUGUUGUCUUUUUUUUUUUUAAUUCCGAGAAGUGUACCUGUCCUUCCCUCUAGUCCUUCCAUCUCGGUUUCCAGGUUCUCUCUGGGCCUCCUGCACCCAGAUGUCAGCAUGGGGGGCCUCCCAGCCCAGUUCUGCCCUUCUGGUCCCAGCCUUUUGGCAGAGACGCUGCCAUUCAUGCCCCCACGGGGAAGUUCUUCACCUCAGCUCUUUCCCUGUCUUAUCUAGGAUGUUUUUGCUUGGUUCUUCUUUGCUGUUUUCUUGUUCUCAUUUUUCUAAUUUAGUCUAAUCUAAUGUAUGUUUUAGAAAUUUUUAAACUUUUAAAAUUUAAGACUAAUUGUAAAUUCUUCUGGUGGAAUCCACAACUCAGCAUGUUGUUUUCCUUAUGAAAUGGCUGCAUUCCUCAAACUUCUGGCUAUGUUGUCUGAUCCACCUUGGGAUUUUACUGUCUUUAUAGCUUCAUUUCAGAAAGAAUCACAUUUUUAAUAUUAAUCCUUCCUAGCCAGGACCAAGAUCUGCCUUUCCAUUGAUCUGAAUGCUGUUUUCUCUUCUUCGGGAGAUUGUACAAGCGCUCCACGUUUCCUGCUAAGGGUGGGGGUGUCGUGUUGCUGUGUGUUAGCGUGGUGACCCGGUCCAGAGCAUCUCACGCCUCCAGUGUCUUCCAGGUCCGCGUCAGCCUGCGCGCACUGACCAGACCCAUCACCGGAGGCUGAUGUCCAGGCGCAGCCCCCACCCACACUCAUGCCUGCAGAGUGCUCAGACCACGCUGGCUGCCAGCGUGCUCAGCCUCCCAGGAGCGAGGCUGGAGGUGGAGAGAGGGGUCCCUGGCUUCCAGGAUGGGUGGGAAACCAGAGCUCUUGCCUGUCACCCCCAGGACACGCAGCCCUGCACGGCACAGCACGAGAUACCCAAAGGACUUGACCACAGCUUCUCAUUCGUCAGAUCUGAUGGACGCUGACUUCCUGGUUCCAUGUUUCCUUCAAGGGCCUCAUGUUCUCCUGUCCCACUGUGGGAAGUGGGAUUUGGGUGCCUGUUUCAUUUCUGGGGCCCAAUGGGGGUAGGGAUGGACGAUGGUAAGGGCCACAAAGCAGGGACCUGCCAGCUGGGAGGAGAGGGGCCGUUCAAGGACAAGGGUCCUGCACAGCGUCCCAUGGGACCCCUCCGGGGGCCAUCACCUGUAUCUCCUUCAUCUCCCUCUCCUCCCAAACCCACCACCCUCAUUUCUGGUGCAUAGUUCUAAAGGUAUCUGUUCACUGUCAGUUAGCAAACCAAUGCUUUUAUUUUUCAAAAAAAAGAUACCGUUAUUGGUCAAUUUAGAGCCAUAGUACAAGUGAAAUAAAUGUGAAAUUUCUUCCUUA